rnacentral:misc_RNA from 1 species
UAGAGUUAUAAAACUCCAAAACCCAUGUGAACAUACCUCUGUUGCCUCGGUGGCCUACCCGGUAGUUACCCUGUAGUUACCCUGUAGUCCGCCGAAGGACCAUUAAACUCUUGUACCAAACCAUGUCGUCUGAAUUACUUGAUUAAAAUCAAAAACA